ACCAGACUCCUACGGGAGGCAGCAGUGGGGGAGAUGGCACAAUGGGGGGAACCCUGAUGAAGCGACGCCGCGUGGGAGAAGGAGCGUUUAGGAGCGUAAAGACCUAUCGGCAGGGAAGAAGGAGGACGGUAACUGACUAAGAAGGCCCGGCUAACUACGUGCCAGCAGCCGCGGUAAUACGUAGGGGGGAAGCGUUAUCCGGAUUUACUGGGUGUAAAGGGGGCGCAGACGGCAGCGCAAGCCAGGAGUGAAAGCCCGGGGCCCAACCCCGGGACUGCUCUUGGAACUGCGCGGCUGGAGUGCAGGAGGGGCAGGCGGAAUUCCUGGUGUAGCGGUGAAAUGCGUAGAUAUCAGGAGGAACACCGGUGGCGAAGGCGGCCUGCUGGACUGCGACUGACGUUGAGGCCCGAAAGCGUGGGGAGCAAACAGGAUUAGAUACCCCUGUAAG
rnacentral:rRNA from 1 species